rnacentral:rRNA from 1 species
ACCUGGCCUAAAGAGAGGGAUACCGGCGAGAAAUUGUCGACAAGCCCGCAUAGGUUUUUGCUGGUAGAGCAGUGUGAGCAAAGUUUUUCUCGUGAGAGGGAGGCGCUUUAGGAUGGGCCUGUGGCCGAUUAGCUAGUUGGAGAGGUAAGAGCUCCCCAAGGCGACGAUCGGUAGCUGGUCUGAGGGGACGAUCAGCCACACUGGGAUUGAGAACGGCCCAG